CUUGGUCAUUUAGAGGAAGUAAAAGUCGUAACAGGGUUUCCGUAGGUGAACCUGCGGAAGGAUCAUUAGUGAAUUGAAUAUGUUAGCGGACCUCUUCGGAGUCCCUAGCAUCAAAUCAUAUCCAUAACACCUGUGAACUGUAAGGCUGUCUUGAAAACGAAAGUGAUUAGAGCGCCUGCCCAUUUUAUACAAACAUUAAAGUAACAAACGUAGUCUUAUUAUAAUCUAAUAAAACUUUCAACAACGGAUCUCUUGGCUCUCGCAUCGAUGAAGAACGCAGCGAAAUGCGAUAAGUAAUGUGAAUUGCAGAAUUCAGUGAAUCAUCGAAUCUUUGAACGCACCUUGCGCUCUUUGGUAUUCCGAAGAGCAUGCCUGUUUGAGUGUCAUGAAAAUAUCAACCUUGACUUGGGUUUAGUGCUCUUGUCUUGGCUUGGAUUUGGCUGUUUGCCGCUCGAAAGAGUCGGCUCAGCUUAAAAGUAUUAGCUGGAUCUGUCUUUGAGACUUGGUUUGACUUGGCGUAAUAAGUUAUUUCGCUGAGGACAAUCUUCGGAUUAGCCGAGUUUCUGGGACGUUUGUCCGCUUUCUAAUACAAGUUCUAGCUUGCUAGACAUGACGUUUUUAUUAUCUGGCCUCAAAUCAGGUAGGACUACCCGCUGAACUUAAGCAUAUCAAUAAGCGGAGGA
rnacentral:rRNA from 1 species